rnacentral:lncRNA from 10 species
UCUAAUUUGAGAGGAAGGCAUAGACACAUGAAGGCAGACUUAUGUUAUAAAGCCCUAAAGGUCGGGAUUGAGAACAAGGACUUUAGACCCAGGAUGCAUCUCACUGUAUGGCUUGGACAGAUUAUUUAACCACACUAAGCCUUGAUUUUCCCUUUAGUGAAAUGGGAAUUUGAAUAAUACUGACCUUAUAAUAUUACACUGUAUAAGUUUAUGUAUUUCCAUAUGCCAUAGAAAAGGAAGAAUUUGUUUUCUAGAUGCUCAGAGGAGAGUUGGCCACUGACAGCUGGAGUGUUCAGGAAGAUUUCAUGGUGGAGGCCUUUCUUCCCAUUUCCAUCUCAGCCCCUUCCUGUGGCUUCAGGCCCACCUCCCCAUGAGUGCUGUCAUCGAGGACACCUCUCAGGCUUCAUCUUUUUAACUUUGCUGCAGAUUUCAACACUGUGAACUACCUUUC